UACGUAGGGGGCAAGCGUUGUCCGGAUUUAUUGGGCGUAAAGAGCUCGUAGGCGGUCUGUCGCGUCUGCUGUGAAAACUCGGGGCUUAACCCCGGGCCUGCAGUGGGUACGGGCAGACUAGAGUGCGGUAGGGGAGACUGGAAUUCCUGGUGUAGCGGUGAAAUGCGCAGAUAUCAGGAGGAACACCAGCGGCGAAGGCGGCGCUCUGGGCCGGUACUGACGCUGAGGAGCGAAAGCGUGGGGAGCAAACAGG
rnacentral:rRNA from 1 species